rnacentral:rRNA from 1 species
AAGAGUGAACUAGCUAACUGAAAUCACUAAUUGAUCUUAUCAAUGUGAUAUAGUAAGGGAAAACAAAUGAUAUUACUUUACUUAUAGUGUUGUCUAAUUCUGGUGCCAGAAGACUCGGUAAUACCAGUAACGCGAACGUUAGUCAUCUUUAUCAGGCGUAAAGGGUUUGUAGGCAGCCUUCNAAAAAAAAAACUUCUUAAUAGUUAAGUUUUUAAUUUAUUCUUUAUUUAUUCAUAAUAAAGACAAGAGCUAGAAUCAAAUAGAAGUUANNAAGUAUAAUACUUAGAGNAGGGUUGAAAUUCUUAGAACCUAAGGGGAAUACUAAUGGUGUAAACAACUAACUAUAAAUGAUUGACGCUGAGACACGAAGGUGAGGAUAGGAAAUAGGAUUAGAUACCCCGGUACCCCUCUCUGUAAACGAUGAAUGGUAGUUAUUAGUGUAUUACUGGUAACGAAGCUAACGCGUUAACCAUUCCGCCUUGGGAGUACGAUUGCAAAGUUGAAAACCAAAAAAUUAGUCGGUCUCGGAGCACAACGGAGUGNACAU